rnacentral:rRNA from 1 species
UGGGGAAUAUUGGACAAUGGGCGAAAGCCUGAUCCAGCCAUGCCGCGUGUGUGAAGAAGGUCUUCGGAUUGUAAAGCACUUUAAGUUGGGAGGAAGGGCAGUUACCUAAUACGUGAUUGUUUUGACGUUACCGACAGAAUAAGCACCGGCUAACUCUGUGCCAGCAGCCGCGGUAAUACAGAGGGUGCAAGCGUUAAUCGGAAUUACUGGGCGUAAAGCGCGCGUAGGUGGUUUGUUAAGUUGGAUGUGAAAUCCCCGGGCUCAACCUGGGAACUGCAUUCAAAACUGAUUGACUAGAGUAUGGUAGAGGGUGGUGGAAUUUCCUGUGUAGCGGUGAAAUGCGUAGAUAUAGGAAGGAACACCAGUGGCGAAGGCGACCACCUGGACUGAUACUGACGCUGAGGCGCGAAAGCUAGGGUAGCAAACGGGAUUAGAUACCCACGUAGUCCCUGAGCGGGCUGGCAAGGCGCAU